ensembl:snRNA U6 U6 spliceosomal RNA
GUGCUCUCUUCAGCAACACAUAUACUAAAAUUGGAAUGAUACAGAGAAGAAGAUUAGCAUGGUAUCUGUGAAAAGAUGACACACAAAUUCCUAAAGCAUUCCAUAUUUAU